rnacentral:pre_miRNA from 1 species
CCGGGUUUUGUCCGUUGAUGUUUACACAGUGGGCGGAUAACGCUAAACACCAACGGAUGAACGUCGG